CGCAGAUGGCUCUGCUGUUUCUGCUAUUUGCGUGAUGAACGUGAGGGUGGCUAUUUUCACACGAGAGUUCGGUGUUUGUGUUGGAUCCGUGAGAUACCUCAUUACUGCGGGCAGUAAUUGCUCGCCUGGGAAACAUUCUCUGCAAACAGAUUUGAAAUAAUUGGUCUAACAUACACAGGACACAUGAAGUGUUAAUUACAAGGUCGGAACUUACCUGACAACAUCGAGGGUCUUGUGAAUUUUCGUUUGGAUCGAUCCGAGGAGAUCGGUGCCUAAUUUAUUCAAGAGCCUAGCGCAUAGGACGUAAAGCCAAUCGCCGAGGUCCUCGCUGUGAGUGGCCACCACCUCGUUCAACGUGUCCAGGAAUAAACUGAAAACUUUUGUGUGGGAGUCCAUGAACAUCUUGGUGAAGAUGUCCGUCACCUCGCGGAGCUCCGUCGCUGUCAGCGUGUUCCCGUUCGAGAGGAAAUGUUGCAAGCCUACUAAACCUUCUUUCCUGUCUCCCCAAUGUUUAUGCGCACAAUUUUCAAUAAUUUCCUUAAUAUCCUGCAAAAUAAUGUUUCCGUCUAUGUAAAAGGAAGCACGGAGGAUGGAUCGCAAUUAAGACAGCCACACGAAAAAAAGUCUUAUUUGCAAAGUAGCUGGAUCUUUACACACGGCCGAGUCACAAAUAAUUUCCGCCGCAAGCGUUGAGAAAUUAAUGGAUGUGAACACGACAGCAGUAAUGACAAUGGUUACAUACAAUGAUAAUGUUAAUUAUGAAACGGAAAUUAUUUUUGGUUCGACUUAAUACGACCAAUUUAUUUUUCUAUGGUAGAUGUGUAUAGUAUAUUUGUAUGGAGUAAAUGGAUAUGAAGUAGUAAAUUGAACAAACCUUCGAGAUAGACUGAUCCCACAUAUCACGGUACAGUCUUUGCUGGGAGCCACUCCAUGAGAACGACUAAUGGGUAGAUGGACGAUGGACAGAUAUGGAGAACAGAACGGCGCAUCGCGUUAGUCCAAACCAAACAAAUACGCCGCAACAAAACCAAAAGAAAAAACCAUACAUGCGUUAUCUACAUUGUCCUAGGAUGCUGGAAGCACUGGUUACAUUAAGCUUCUGGCCUAAGUCUACCCUCACAAGGGUGAGAAUUAGGAAAUAGUGUGUUCGAGGACAAACGGAUACCCAUAGCGUCGCAGAAAUGUGUUAUGAAAUAAUGUUCAUAUAAUGCGAUGUUGUAUAGAAGAAAAAAAAUAGAUUACUAUAUCCGAAGACAUAUAAACGUCCAAAGCUUAGUCUCCGAAUAGAAAUAAUAUUGCAGCCGCACGGUGUGGUCUACUUUUAUCACGCAAACAUUAGAGAAGCGUUAAUGAACCAAAUGAACAUAUACCUAUUAAGAAAGCAUGGUGUACAAUAAGUGUCUGAGAAUGUUUACCAAAAAGAAGCUAAACGCAGUAUGUGAUUACUAUCGGGUUUGUUUACUCUUCCACUUUGUUCGUAAGGUAAGAACUUUUCUUUAUCGAUUUAGCAGUAUCCUACUAUUCUUCUCACUUACGUCAUUCGGUCGUCUAUAACUGUCCAUGCCCCUUUCGGAGCAUAUACUGCUGGUUUCGCUGUCGUCGCUGUGAUCACCUUUACCCCUGGGCGUUCUAGGGUAAUUAUCAAUGUUGUCGAACGCAUCUGCCAACGCCGAUUCUGCUUCACGCGACUGUUGAAGCAUCUUCUGUGCCAUCACCGGUCUGGAUUGAGGCCUAUCCGUUGGGGACAUGUGCAAAUUCCUUCCCCUAGGGUGAUAAUUAAAACGAAACACUCCACCAAUUAACUGAAGGUCGAGUUAUUCCUGCAAAGGCACGCUGAUCUCUCUAAAACCUCUUUAAAAAAUUUCUAAAAUACUUUCAACUAUGUAGUCCAAGGCUACCAAGUUCAAUUACCUAACAGAAGGAAAAAGAUUGAAGAGACAUCAGUAUGCCAUCACAAGGUUACGUCAAAUUAUCCUCAUUCAGUGAAAAAAUGCUUGACUGCGCUGACGUAAAAAGAAUGUUAGUCACGUAAAUGACUAUUUACCGGAUUUUGCUAGCAAAACUCCUGUCCAUUCCGAACCUCUGCGGGCUGGGUUCGCGGCUGUUGCCGGUGCUUCUGAUCCCAUGCCCAGAUAAUCGCCUAGGCCUCGCGAUCAAGGAUUCACCUUCGCGAUUAUACGUGGCGUAACUCAGCCUAGAUGACGGCGAUCCCGACCGACUGCUGGCUGUACCACGAUAAUACACAAAUUGAGACCUUUCCAUGUAUGUACAUUAGGACUCCAUUUAACCGAAUCAGCAAAAUGCCUAAUUAUUUGUUUAACAUUUUACAUAUAAUACAAUGUUCUCUCCAAAUUUGGAUAACACAUGAAAAAGAAUAAUACUCACUGCGGAUAAAAACGGAUUAAGAACGCUUCAUAAUGAUAAAAUGACUAGAGACACUGUCGGAAUGGAAUACGGUAAAUUUAGAAUGUCCGAACAAAAAUGAAGAAAAAUUGACUUUUCAAUAUAGUUUAAUAUUAUAACAUAAUUGAUUUUAGUAUCACUUAGGAGUAUUGAUAAAGUAGAUAUAAUAAAAAGAUAAUAAUU